GCUAGUUGGUGAGGUAAGGGCUCACCAAGGCGACGAUCCCUAGCUGGUCUGAGAGGAUGAUCAGCCACACUGGAACUGAGACACGGUCCAGACUCCUACGGGAGGCAGCAGUGGGGAAUAUUGCACAAUGGGCGCAAGCCUGAUGCAGCCAUGCCGCGUGUGUGAAGAAGGCCUUCGGGUUGUAAAGCACUUUCAGUCGUGAGGAAGGUAGUGUCGUUAAUAGCGGCAUUACUUGACGUUAGCGACAGAAGAAGCACCGGCUAACUCCGUGCCAGCAGCCGCGGUAAUACGGAGGGUGCGAGCGUUAAUCGGAAUUACUGGGCGUAAAGCGCAUGCAGGUGGUUUGUUAAGUCAGAUGUGAAAGCCCGGGGCUCAACCUCGGAAUAGCAUUUGAAACUGGCAGACUAGAGUACUGUAGAGGGGGGUAGAAUUUCA
rnacentral:rRNA from 1 species